rnacentral:rRNA from 1 species
UACGGAGGAUGCGAGCGUUAUCCGGAUUUAUUGGGUUUAAAGGGUGCGUAGGCGGCGAGUUAAGUCAGCGGUAAAAGCCCGGGGCUCAACCCCGGCCCGCCGUUGAAACUGACGGUCUUGAGUGGGCGAGAAGUAUGCGGAAUGCGUGGUGUAGCGGUGAAAUGCAUAGAUAUCACGAAGAACUCCGAUUGCGAAGGCAGCUCACUGGACUGCAACUGACACUGAGGCUCGAAAGUGUGGGUAUCAAACAGG